GGCUAUGGAAAGAAACAAAUGGACUUCAAGCAUUGAAACAUGCGGUUUUGCAGCUAAUAUGUAAUUUUGUGGUAAAAUCAUACCUAUAUCUUGUUUAGUUAUUUUGUAUUGACAAGUCAUGUAGUAGAUAUUUAUUAUGUUAUAGUCGCAUAAUUGGAUGUUUUUACAUAAAAAUUGACAAAAACUAUGAUAGGCCUAUAUAAGUAGCCUAUUUGUGUUGGAUGAUAUGAUCAUAGGCCUUUAAUACUGAUAUAAGUGAUCACCUCAAUUUAGGCCAGCUUAUUUUGUAUUUAAAUAAAGUGUUCACAGGCACAUUUGCUUUGUAUAUUGUGUCCAAUUUGGUACAUAUAAAUUUAUUAAACAGAAUUCCUGGCUAAUUUUCAAUGUUCAUGGCCCACUGGAUUUGUUAAAUUGUAAGGAACACUACACGAGUUAAACGACUUUUAGUUUAAACUGAAUAAACGAAAGUUUGUCUUAUUCAUUCGUGCAGCACAGGUUCUUUUGCCACUAGUUUAGGUGAGGGGCGUGUUUCAGACGGUAGGUGACGUCAAUGUAUUUAAACUGCUGAGUAUGACGGUUUGGGCACUCAGUUGGACUCCAUGUUGAAGUCAGUGUAAAAUGGCGAAAACAGGUGAGAAGUAAAUUGUUUUAGUGCAGAACAAUUUUGUGAUUGUAUGUGUAGCGAAUGUGUCUUAAGUUAUUAAUAUGUAUUUUUUAUUUAUUUUGCAGGCACUGAAAGCAACAUGGUUGUUUCCAGGUUUGGGAAGAAAGACUUCGUUGUACCUAAAGGUCUGAAUGUUUGCUUCUUGACGGAUUCCAUGUGCCGGGGUUUGGACCAAUACUGUGAGGGAGCACAUUGUUGGGUUCAUCCCGGAACUACUUUGGUGCGUUCAGCACAACAGCACGUCUAUCAUCUGAGAAGAGUAAACGGUGAUGCCUUGUUGAUCAUCCACAUUGGGACAAACGAUGUGGCUAGUGGUGUUUCAGCGGAAACAGUCGUUAACCGAAUGGCCUUGCUGGUGGAACGCCUUCGUCAUUCUUUUAAGUACAAACUGCAUUUCGCCAUUUGUUCUCUUUUUCAGUAUUUCAAAAAAAAAUUUGUGGAACUUUUGUAACUAUAUUCUUCACUUUCCAAGCUUGCUGAAAUAAAUGUCUAUGGAAUAGUAAGCUUUUUAAAAGU
ensembl:lncRNA